GAAUCUCACCGACAGAAGCUCACAGUCAGAUGCUAAAUCCAUAUUUCUAAAAAGCUCUGGCAGCUUACGACGACUCAGCGACGGAAAGUAGUACUUCUCCUCAACUCCGGUGGCUCGUCACUCAGCCUUACCAAAAUGUUAGCAGCUUAUGGCGGUACUUCUCCUCAACUGCAGGUGGAAAGAAGCCUUCACUUUGAUUUAGUUCACAGGUGCUUUGGCUCAUUUCUCUUUUGAAUAAUUAUAGGACUUGUAAUGAUUCAAAUUGCUUCUCACAAGUUUUGCACUCUAAAAUACUUACACAAUUAGCCAUUACAUUAAUAAAUCAGAGAUGUUUUUUGAGUUACACAACUUAAGUCCAUAGAAAGCUGCUUGAAUUUCACUCGAGUUAGAACUUAACUGGAGAGGUUUAGCGAAAUCCAUAACCCACCUUCCGUUACUUUAGAUAAAGAUAAAGGUCAGUACUAUUCAAAACAAAUGAAAAUUGAACCAUUCUACUAUCAAUACUUGGCGUGUAGUUCAGAUCAAUAUCACAAACAAAUUCCCGGUUCCAGUACUCUCGAUUGAUUCUACUUAAUUGCUUUUCAAUAGUGAUCUUAACAUGGAAUAGGAGCUGCUAUUUGAUUCUUUCAUUGGUGGUGUUUUUCUUGUCAUAUAUGCUUCUUGGCACAAUGGGCUUUUCUAACUUUAAUUUGCUUGGAGUAAAUUGAAGGAUUACCUUAUGCAAAGCAUUAUCAUGUUGCUUGUUCCACCAACACUUCAAAGAAUCCAUUACAUUUUAUUGUCUACUAUUCAUACCCAAUAUAUAUAUAUAUAGUUAAAUAAGUCAUUGGUUAGUAUAUAUAGCUACUAAGUGGAAGAUACACAGGCUAAUUGUGGGAGCUCUAUGAAAGUUUCUUGUAAACGAUAAGUUGAUUUUAUGGGAUUUUGUUGCUCUAUUGUAUAAGUUUUCCUAUUUUGAAAUCCAAAUAGUUAAUAAGAUAUUGCUAAUGCUGUAGAUUUUUUUAUCAAACUUGAAUUUGGAAAAAGGGUUGCUUUGCUAUUUUUUAGUGACCGCUUAUCUCUUUCUCUUCAACUUAGGCCAAGAAAAGGUAAGUUGAUUUCUCUCUAUUUUCUUAUAAUGAAGUCUUUAAAUGUAGUGUUAAGGUGGGAUUAUUUGUUGUAGAAGGCUUUAAAAGUCAUAUAUUUUGUGAUGAUUAUAUGGUGUGAGAGGGACAUGCGACAUCUCUACUUAUUUGCUUUAUUAAAUUUGUUGAAUUGUUUAACCUAUAUUGUAAAAUUAAAGUUUAAUAAUUUUAUUGAAAUAUGAUGUCAAUUGUGAUGAUUAUAUGGUGUAGUCACUUGAAAUAUGAAUUUGUUAUUUGAAAAUGGUUAAGUGUAGUCACUUGAAAUGUGUACUAGUGACUUGAAAAUGUUUAAGUGUAUUGACUUGAAAUACGAAUUACUUACUUAAAAAUAGUACUAGUGACUUGAAAAUGAUCAAGUGUAGUCACAUGAAAUGUAAAUUAGUGUCCUGAAAAUGGUUAAGUGUAUUGACUUGAAAUAUGAAUUAGUUACUUGAAAAAUAGUUAAAGUGUAGUCACUUGAAAUAUGAAUUAGUUACUUGAAAAUGGUUAAGUGCAGUCACUUGAAAUGUGAAGUAGUGACUUGAAAAUGAUUUAAUGUUGUCUAUUCAAAUAUAAAUUCAUGACUUGAAAAUGGUUAAGUGUAGUCACUUGAAAUGUGAAUUAGAGACUUGAAAAUGGUUAAGUGUAGUCACUUGAAAUAUGAAUUUGUGACUUGAAAAUAGUUAAGUGUAGUGUUUUGAAAUGUUAAUUAGUUACUUCAAAUAAUCAAGUGUAGUCACUUGAGAUGUGAAUUAGUGACUUGAAAAUGGUUUAGUAUAGUUACUUGAAAGAUGAACUUGUGUUUUGAAAUUAGUUAAGUGUAAUCACUUGAAAAUGUGAAUUAGUGACUUGAAAAUUAUUAAGUCCUUAGUUUUGAUGAUUGAAAAAUCCAUUUGGGACUUGUUCCUUGGAGCCCUUGUUGUGAUGAAAAAGUCAUGGUCGUUGUCACAAUCAAUAAUCCAGCUGACACAAAGUACAAAAGUUGGUGAAAAGUUGUUGCCACCUUUUUUCCUCAACUAAUGAGAUUGAUUUUAGGUUUUCUUGUGUAAAGAUAUAUAAUGCACAUCUUCCUCAAUAAUAAAACCAACACUUCCAUUACUUACAGUUAAAUAUCUUUCUAAAGUAUUGCAGGGUUGUAAAUCAAAGCUUGGUACUGUAACAAGGAACUUGUUGCUCAUCAAGUUUAUCUUUAUUUCCUUAUUAUAGUUGAGUCUUUGUAAUCUGUACUUAAAUGCUUUCAUACGUUUGCUUAUGAUUAUAGUAGGUGUUAUGGUGUAAUUAGCCCAUUGUAAUCUUCUAGAGUUAGGUGAUUUUCCAAGCUAGAGUUAGCUUGAGGAGUCCAAUUAGAGUUAGAUGGAGGUGUUGUCAGCUAGAGUUAUCUGGGGUGAGAAGUAUUAGAGUUACUACUUGGGUUUUUAUGUAAUGGAGUUAUUACUAGGAAAUGAAGGAUUAGGAUUUUAAUCCUUGGAGUCUAUAUUCAAGAGGUUGCUUGAAUAUAGUGGAGCUUGAAAUCCUGGAGGCAGGUCGUGGCUUUUGUCCCUUGAGAAAGGAGUUUCCAUGUAAAAAUCCUGUGUCUUUACUUUUCUAUACUCCAGCACUAUUUAUUUCAUUUAUCUCCUAAUUCGUGUUGAGUGUGUGACUCUGGGAACUAUUCCUAAGUCGAAGAGCAACCCACCCCAACCCUUCAUUUGGUAUCAAAGUAGGUAUUUUAUAAUAUGUAUAACACCUUGGAAGGAUCAUAAGAAAUGAAGGCUUAACAAGCUACUUACACCUCUAAAGUCAAUGAAACAACUCGCAUCACUAAAGGGGUUCUCAAAGGCUUGGAAAGGACCGGAGCUUUGUCAAAAAAAGGGAAGUAGAAAAUCCCUAUACAGAGUAGCUGGAAAACUGAGGUUGGCAGAAUUUCUAGUAAGGUUCUUGGAACUUAAGGGAAUGAUUCAUCAAGUGACUCAAAUGAGUUCGAGCAAGGAAAAGACAUCCCCAUCAUGUUAACAAAAUUAAAGGUGCAAGUCUCUGAUGCACUCAUUGCUUUAAUGGAUGACAGUGAUAAUAAGGAACAAAAACUUGUUAAUCUUCGUGAAAUUAAAGAAAAUAUGAAAGACUACUGCCUAAGUAAGCUAAGAUCUCUUGCUUCUAUGUUGAUUGAUUCUCUAGAUAAUCUUGUUAAGUAUAAGAGAAUCUGAAGGAACCCUUGAAAAAUAUGAAGAAAAAGAAGUGAUCGAGUUAUGUGUUCAAAUGGAUGAGCUCUCAAAUGAGAAGCCAAGGCUGGAAAAUGAUCUAGGCAUGUUUGAAGAAUAAUUGGUUGAAUUGAGCGUAUAGGUAGCUGAUCAUCAAGCAACUUGCAAGAAUCUCUCAAGGGAAAACGAUCUCCUAAGUAAAUGAUUAAGUGUUAUUACCAAGCCGUUAACAUAGAUCUUUCAAGCAUUGUUUCUAUGGUAUGAGCUUUAAAUCCCGUGUCUCCCAAUCGCCUUGAAUCUAAUGGACAAGCAAGUUUGAGUCCCCCAACACUAAUAAUUCCUGAACACCCAUGUUAAUAUCUAGCCUUAGCCCUAGAAUGCAAGCUUCAUAUUCUGCCAUGUUAUUGGUACAAUAAAAUUGAAGUUUCACUGUUAUCAAAAUAUAUUUGCCUGAUUCAGAGAUAAGAACUGCACCUAUUCUGACUCCUUUCAUUCUAAUGGCUCCAUACAAAAAUAGCUUCCAACCUGGAUCAGCAUCUAUAAUGACUUCCUCAAUACACAACUCCUCUUCAUCAGGAAAAUAUGUCUUUAAUGGUUCAUAAUCAUCAUCAAUGGGGUUCUAAGUAAGAUGAUCUGCCAAAGCUUGGGAUUUUAUGGAGGUUCGAGUCAUAUAUACAAUGUCGAACUCAGUAAGCAAUAUUUUCUACUUUGCCAGUCGACCUGUUGGCAUAGGCUUUGGAAAGAUAUACUUCAAAGGAUCCAUGCGGAAGAUGAGAUAAGUAGUGUAGGAUAAAAGAUAAUGCUUCAAAUUUUGCGAUACCUAUGUUAAGGAACAACAGGUCCUUUCAAGAAGAGUGUACUUGGCUUCAUACAUUGUAAACUUCUUGCAAAGAUAAUAGAUAGCCUGCUCUUUUUUGCUUGUGACAUCAUGUUGAUCUAAUACACAACCAAAGGAAUUAUCAUAACCGCUAAAUACAAAAUCAAAGUCCUACCAGGCUCAAGUGGUACCAACACUGGUGGAUUUGACAGAUAUCUUUUGAUUUUAUCAAACGUUUCAUGACAUACCUCAGUCCACUCAACCGCAGCACUCUUCUUUAGCAACUUGAAAAUGGGCUCACAAAUAGUUAUGAGCUGAGCAAUGAACCUACUGAUGUAGUUCAAUCUACCAAUAAAACUCAUCACCUAUGUUCUAUUCUUGGGCUGCGGCAAGUCCUGAAUGGCUUUGAUCUUUGAAUGAUCCAGUUUGAUACCCCGACGGCUGAUUACGAACCCCAAUAACUUUCUAGAUGGAACUUUGAAUACAUAUUUUUUUGGAUUGAGUUUGAGAUUAUACCUGCGAAGCCUUUCAAAGAACAUCCUUAGAUCUUUAACAUGGUCAGCCUGAUUCUUUGACUUAAUAAUUACAUCAUCUACAUAGACUUCAAUUUCCUUAUGCAUCGUAUCAUGAAACAUAGUGGUCAUUACUCUCAUGUAUGUUGCUAUAGCAUUCUUCAAACCUAACGGCAUCACUCGAUAAUAAUAAGUUCCCUAUGGUGUGAUAAAAGAUGUUUUUUCUGCAUCACCAUCAUCCAUAAUAAUUUAAUGGUACCCAGCAUAGCAAUCCAUAAUAGAUGCCACCUCAUUAUUAGCACAAUUUUCAAGGAAAAUAUGGAUAUUAGGCAUUGGAAAAUCAUCCUUCCAACUUUCUUUGUUCAAAUCCCUAUAAUUAACACAUACUUGAAUGUUGCUAUCUUUCUUUAGGAUAGGAACAACAUUCGACAACUAAGUAGGAUAACAAGCCACACGAAUGACUUUGGCUUCAAGUUGUUUCAUGAUUUCCUCUUUGAUUUUUAUACUCACAUCAAUUUUAAACUUUCUCAACUACUGUUUGAUAGAAGGAAAUGCAGGAUCAAUUGGCAAUUUAUGAGCCACUAAUUCAGUGCUUAAACCUGGCAUAUCAUCAUAAGACCAUGCAAAGACUUCUUUAUAAUCAAUUAAAGCUUGAAUCAUUCCCUCUUUUAAUUGCAGUGCAACAUGUACACUUAUUUUAGUUUACCUAAUAUCUCCUUGAUCUCAAAGAUUAAUUGGCUCGGUUUCAUUUAAAUUAGGAUUCGACUUGUCUUUAAAUUAUUUCAACUCUUUGCUUAUUUCCUCUAAUGCCUCUUCUUUAUCAUAUUCCACCUUUUGCUUCAUUGUAUCUUGAUUAGAUUAGGUUUUAAGACCAGGCUGAACAUUCUGCAUGUAUGCCAUAUUACUAGAAUCGGCAUAAAAAAAUUGUAUAAAGAAAAAGACAAACAAAUUAUAUUAGACAUAAAAACAAAAAAGGACAUUGCAUUUUAUUAAAAGGGAAUGAUAGGAGGGUUUAGACAUAAACGACAACAAAACAUAAAAAAGAUAAAUUUUGAAUUACAAACCUGAAAUAACUCAGAUAAAUAGAAAGAAAAACAAAGCAAACUAUCAAAAGUCCCUCCUGAUAGGGAGAUGAGUGACUUCCCAAUUGUUGAGCUGGACAUCAGGGCCAAUAAACUGCACAUCUGUGUUGCUAGUACCUUCCCCAAUUUAAACUACAUCACUUUUAAUAAAAAUGUUUUGGAAAGGGGCCAUUAAAUCUGUAUCAUCAUUAUUCAUUGUCUCUAUGGCAGGUAAUAUGGAGGACUCAAUAACAUUGACUUGGAUGAAGGACUCGGUGAGUAAUGGUAUGGGAUUGGUAAGUGUCCAUGAAUAUUUCUUCCACUUCUUAGCCCUUUUUCUAUCCUCAAAAGUAGGUUCGUACCCCAGACCAAAGGUACCUAAGUUCUCACGUAGGCAUACUGGAUGAGCCUUGCCUUGUAAAAACAUCCCUAAACCCUUUCUUGUCUCAAAACCAUGCUUUAAUAUUUCAUUCACGACCAUAACAGAUGCGGAGCGCAAUUGUGGACUUGGAAUAAAAUUUCCCUCAAGGAUUUUCUCAACAGUUAUCGCCUUUAAAACCUAAUAAACUGGUACUCUAUCUGCAUUACCUAUCUCAAUAGAAAAAAUAGAAUAAUCUUUGUUCGCUGAUGAGUCCCCUUCACUAAGAACAAUAAUUUCUUAUCUGUCGUUUUUGAAUUUGACUAUUUGGUGCAAUGUAGAUGCAACUGCCCCAGCCUUGUAAACCCAUCGUCUUCCUAAUAAAAAAAUGUACAAAGCAUCAAUAUUCAACACUGGAAAAUUUAUGGCAAAUUCAACAGGCCCUAUAGUUAAUAUCAACUCUAUUUCACAAAUGGAAAUUGUUUUUGCUCCAUUGAAAGCUUUGACACAUACAUUGUUGGGUUGAAUCCUCUCAGUACUGACGUUCAACUUUUGCAAAGUAGUUAGAGGACAAAUGUUAGCGUCGAAACCUCCAUGAAUCAUGAAAUGAGUGACAUAGAAAUUUUAACACUUUACAGUAAUGUAAAGGCCCCAAUUAUGCCCCGUGCCUUCUACAGGAAAUUCAUCAUCAGAAAAGCUAAUCCAGUUUACCUCAAAGAUCUUUUCCACAAUUUUCUCCAACUGAUUCACCAUAAUUUCUCUAGGGACAUAAGAUUCAUUCAAUACCUUCAAUAUAACAUUAUGAUGCGCAUCAGAAUGCAACAACAAAGACAGAUUUGAGCAGGAGUUUUCUUCAACUGAUCUAUGACUAAAUAUUCUGCCAAUUUUAUUUUCUUCAAGAAUUCUUUAGCUUCUUCUUUAGUGACAGACUUUUUGAGAGAUAAUUACCCAUUCAUCAUUGGUUUAGACUUCCUCAAACCUUUAGGAACAAAACACCUCCCCAAAUGAGUCAAACUCCCUACUUCAUCUACUUCAUCCAUAAUUUCCUUCCCCUGAUAAGUCAUUAAGUCUUCAUUAAGUCGAUGGAUGAAGACUCACCACUACUGAAGACGCAAAUCAUUAAGUCUGCUUAUAAUUCCAGGGGAGCUUUUCGUGUCAACUAGCAGAAGUUGGGUCACCAGCUUGAUGAUAAUAGGUGUUGCAAGUACUCAUUUUAUGAUCAAAAUAGGCUUGCUUGAAGCUCCUAAUACUGUUAACUUGGGUUUUUCCUGACUUAAACCAUCUAUUUUUCUGACUCUUUUUAUAAUGAUCACAGGUUUCCUGGUAUUUGUUUGGGCUUUAUCUUCCACAUUUCUUCUUAGCUCAAUGACAUCUCCUACAUCGAAUAUGCUACAUUCACUAAUUUAUCCUUAUUAGUAUGUAUUCUAAAAAUAGGCUUGUGAGACAUCAUAGACUCUCUACCACCAUAUAUCAACUCCGAUAUGUUUGUCAGCAUGGACUGACAAUGGAUUUUGGUUGAUGUUUGUAAUCUCUGAGGCCUGUAUCAUCAUCUGAUUUAUGCCUAUCAGAUUAUGGAUGGCUCUUUUCAAAUACCAGCAUCUUUCUGUAUCAUGCCCUGGUAUGUCAGAAUAAUAUGCACAUGUUAAAGAGUAAUCAAGAUUUCUAGGAGGUGGAUUUGAUAGCCUUCCUUGAAUUGGGAUCAAGAUGUUCAUAUUUCUCAACCUCCGAAACAAACUAGCAUAUGACUCCCCAAUAGGUGUGAACUUUUUCUUGACUGCCUUCCCUUUCUUAAACUUGAGCUUAGAUCAAAAAUCAAAUUUAUAAGGGUUUUCGUAAUUUUUUGGAGCUAAAGGACAAUUUGGAGAAGUUAGUCCACGCCAUUGUGGGUAAGGAGUUUGAACAUACGGUUGUGCGCUAUAUACUAAGUAUGGGGGUAGUGGAAUGGAUUACAAUGGGUUUUGCUGAGGAUAGUAAAGAUAGGGAGCAUAUAUGGAGCUUGGCUAUAAACUUGGGAUUGAGAUUGGGGAUAGGAAUUAUCAUAACCGCUAAAUACAAAAUCAAAGUCCUACCAGGCUCAAGUGGUACCAACACUGGUGGAUUUGACAGAUAUCUUUUGAUUUUAUCAAACGUUUCAUGACAUACCUCCGUACACUAAACCGCAGCACUAUUCUUUAGAGCAACUUGAAAAUGGGCUCACAAAUAGUUAUGAGCUGAGCAAUGAACCUACUGAUGUAGUUCAAUCUACCAAUAAAACUCAUCACCUAUGUUCUAUUCUUGGGCUGCGGCAAGUCCUGAAUGGCUUUGAUCUUUGAAUGAUCCAGUUUGAUACCCCGACGGCUGAUUACGAACCCCAAUAACUUUCUAGAUGGAACUUUGAAUACAUAUUUUUUUGGAUUGAGUUUGAGAUUAUACCUGCGAAGCCUUUCAAAGAACAUCCUUAGAUCUUUAACAUGGUCAGCCUGAUUCUUUGACUUAAUAAUUACAUCAUCUACAUAGACUUCAAUUUCCUUAUGCAUCGUAUCAUGAAACAUAGUGGUCAUUACUCUCAUGUAUGUUGCUAUAGCAUUCUUCAAACCUAACGGCAUCACUCGAUAAUAAUAAGUUCCCUAUGGUGUGAUAAAAGAUGUUUUUUCUGCAUCACCAUCAUCCAUAAUAAUUUAAUGGUACCCAGCAUAGCAAUCCAUAAUAGAUGCCACCUCAUUAUUAGCACAAUUUUCAAGGAAAAUAUGGAUAUUAGGCAUUGGAAAAUCAUCCUUCCAACUUUCUUUGUUCAAAUCCCUAUAAUUAACACAUACUUGAAUGUUGCUAUCUUUCUUUAGGAUAGGAACAACAUUCGACAACUAAGUAGGAUAACAAGCCACACGAAUGACUUUGGCUUCAAGUUGUUUCAUGAUUUCCUCUUUGAUUUUUAUACUCACAUCAAUUUUAAACUUUCUCAACUACUGUUUGAUAGAAGGAAAUGCAGGAUCAAUUGGCAAUUUAUGAGCCACUAAUUCAGUGCUUAAACCUGGCAUAUCAUCAUAAGACCAUGCAAAGACUUCUUUAUAAUCAAUUAAAGCUUGAAUCAUUCCCUCUUUUAAUUGCAGUGCAACAUGUACACUUAUUUUAGUUUACCUAAUAUCUCCUUGAUCUCAAAGAUUAAUUGGCUCGGUUUCAUUUAAAUUAGGAUUCGACUUGUCUUUAAAUUAUUUCAACUCUUUGCUUAUUUCCUCUAAUGCCUCUUCUUUAUCAUAUUCCACCUUUUGCUUCAUUGUAUCUUGAUUAGAUUAGGUUUUAAGACCAGGCUGAACAUUCUGCAUGUAUGCCAUAUUACUAGAAUCGGCAUAAAAAAAUUGUAUAAAGAAAAAGACAAACAAAUUAUAUUAGACAUAAAAACAAAAAAGGACAUUGCAUUUUAUUAAAAGGGAAUGAUAGGAGGGUUUAGACAUAAACGACAACAAAACAUAAAAAAGAUAAAUUUUGAAUUACAAACCUGAAAUAACUCAGAUAAAUAGAAAGAAAAACAAAGCAAACUAUCAAAAGUCCCUCCUGAUAGGGAGAUGAGUGACUUCCCAAUUGUUGAGCUGGACAUCAGGGCCAAUAAACUGCACAUCUGUGUUGCUAGUACCUUCCCCAAUUUAAACUACAUCACUUUUAAUAAAAAUGUUUUGGAAAGGGGCCAUUAAAUCUGUAUCAUCAUUAUUCAUUGUCUCUAUGGCAGGUAAUAUGGAGGACUCAAUAACAUUGACUUGGAUGAAGGACUCGGUGAGUAAUGGUAUGGGAUUGGUAAGUGUCCAUGAAUAUUUCUUCCACUUCUUAGCCCUUUUUCUAUCCUCAAAAGUAGGUUCGUACCCCAGACCAAAGGUACCUAAGUUCUCACGUAGGCAUACUGGAUGAGCCUUGCCUUGUAAAAACAUCCCUAAACCCUUUCUUGUCUCAAAACCAUGCUUUAAUAUUUCAUUCACGACCAUAACAGAUGCGGAGCGCAAUUGUGGACUUGGAAUAAAAUUUCCCUCAAGGAUUUUCUCAACAGUUAUCGCCUUUAAAACCUAAUAAACUGGUACUCUAUCUGCAUUACCUAUCUCAAUAGAAAAAAUAGAAUAAUCUUUGUUCGCUGAUGAGUCCCCUUCACUAAGAACAAUAAUUUCUUAUCUGUCGUUUUUGAAUUUGACUAUUUGGUGCAAUGUAGAUGCAACUGCCCCAGCCUUGUAAACCCAUCGUCUUCCUAAUAAAAAAAUGUACAAAGCAUCAAUAUUCAACACUGGAAAAUUUAUGGCAAAUUCAACAGGCCCUAUAGUUAAUAUCAACUCUAUUUCACAAAUGGAAAUUGUUUUUGCUCCAUUGAAAGCUUUGACACAUACAUUGUUGGGUUGAAUCCUCUCAGUACUGACGUUCAACUUUUGCAAAGUAGUUAGAGGACAAAUGUUAGCGUCGAAACCUCCAUGAAUCAUGAAAUGAGUGACAUAGAAAUUUUAACACUUUACAGUAAUGUAAAGGCCCCAAUUAUGCCCCGUGCCUUCUACAGGAAAUUCAUCAUCAGAAAAGCUAAUCCAGUUUACCUCAAAGAUCUUUUCCACAAUUUUCUCCAACUGAUUCACCAUAAUUUCUCUAGGGACAUAAGAUUCAUUCAAUACCUUCAAUAUAACAUUAUGAUGCGCAUCAGAAUGCAACAACAAAGACAGAUUUGAGCAGGAGUUUUCUUCAACUGAUCUAUGACUAAAUAUUCUGCCAAUUUUAUUUUCUUCAAGAAUUCUUUAGCUUCUUCUUUAGUGACAGACUUUUUGAGAGAUAAUUACCCAUUCAUCAUUGGUUUAGACUUCCUCAAACCUUUAGGAACAAAACACCUCCCCAAAUGAGUCAAACUCCCUACUUCAUCUACUUCAUCCAUAAUUUCCUUCCCCUGAUAAGUCAUUAAGUCUUCAUUAAGUCGAUGGAUGAAGACUCACCACUACUGAAGACGCAAAUCAUUAAGUCUGCUUAUAAUUCCAGGGGAGCUUUUCGUGUCAACUAGCAGAAGUUGGGUCACCAGCUUGAUGAUAAUAGGUGUUGCAAGUACUCAUUUUAUGAUCAAAAUAGGCUUGCUUGAAGCUCCUAAUACUGUUAACUUGGGUUUUUCCUGACUUAAACCAUCUAUUUUUCUGACUCUUUUUAUAAUGAUCACAGGUUUCCUGGUAUUUGUUUGGGCUUUAUCUUCCACAUUUCUUCUUAGCUCAAUGACAUCUCCUACAUCGAAUAUGCUACAUUCACUAAUUUAUCCUUAUUAGUAUGUAUUCUAAAAAUAGGCUUGUGAGACAUCAUAGACUCUCUACCACCAUAUAUCAACUCCGAUAUGUUUGUCAGCAUGGACUGACAAUGGAUUUUGGUUGAUGUUUGUAAUCUCUGAGGCCUGUAUCAUCAUCUGAUUUAUGCCUAUCAGAUUAUGGAUGGCUCUUUUCAAAUACCAGCAUCUUUCUGUAUCAUGCCCUGGUAUGUCAGAAUAAUAUGCACAUGUUAAAGAGUAAUCAAGAUUUCUAGGAGGUGGAUUUGAUAGCCUUCCUUGAAUUGGGAUCAAGAUGUUCAUAUUUCUCAACCUCCGAAACAAACUAGCAUAUGACUCCCCAAUAGGUGUGAACUUUUUCUUGACUGCCUUCCCUUUCUUAAACUUGAGCUUAGAUCAAAAAUCAAAUUUAUAAGGGUUUUCGUAAUUUUUUGGAGCUAAAGGACAAUUUGGAGAAGUUAGUCCACGCCAUUGUGGGUAAGGAGUUUGAACAUACGGUUGUGCGCUAUAUACUAAGUAUGGGGGUAGUGGAAUGGAUUACAAUGGGUUUUGCUGAGGAUAGUAAAGAUAGGGAGCAUAUAUGGAGCUUGGCUAUAAACUUGGGAUUGAGAUUGGGGAUAAGGGUGAGGCGGUGUUUUCGGAUAUACAUGUGAUCCAGCCACAACAACCGCUACAUUCUCUUUCUUCUUCUUUCCUUCAAAAGUUCUAGAACUGCUCUGAAUUGCUUGAGUGGUAUCCUUUAAUGCGGAAAAACUCAUGAUUCAUCUGGUUUUAAUCCUUUCUUCUAUUAUUUCUCCUAUUUUAAGGACUUUGAUAAAUGGCUUACCCAUUGUCGGAAGCAAAUGUUGAAAAUACAUCUCAUCUUGUGCCUGAAUGAAGACCUUUACUAAUUUAUUCUCUUUCAUCAGAGGCUUUACCCUAGUGACCUAUUCAUGCCACCUUAUCUCAUACUCCCUAAAGUUUUCAGUACUUUUAUUCUUCAUAUUAGUCAGGGACUUUUUUUUGGGAAUUAUCUCUAUAUUGUACUGAAAUUAUUGCAUGAAUUCAUUAGCCAGGUCAUCCCAGCUAUUCCACCUGUCGAUGUCCUGACCCACAAACCACUCUGAGGCUAGUCUUAAAAGUCUCUCACCAAAAUAAGCCAUGAAUAAUUCUUCUUUACCUUCGGCACCCCUUAAUUGAUUGCAAUAAUGCCUCAAAUAUGCCACCGGAUCACCAUGUCCAUCAUACUUUUCAAACUUCGGCAUCUUAAAGCCAAGAGAAAGAUUAACACCUAGAAACAUGCAUAUAUCUUUAUAUGAGACACUUUUAUAACCCUCAAGUCCCUGUAAGUUCCUCAUGGCCUAUUCUAAACUCUUUAAUUUUUGCGUCAUGCCUUUUUGUUCUUCUGUUGCAAUAGGCUUCUCGGUAUCAAAUGGAAAUGCAGGCAGUUGAUUGUACCUAUACGGUUCAUUAAUCUUCAAAGUAGUCUCUGGGGCAUAAUACUAAUCAUUUGAAACCUUUAAAAUGGGCUCACUAGCAAAUUGAGGGAGCGUGAUAGUUGGACGAACAGCAUAAGUAGGAGAUUCAGGUGGUGGAGGAGCCACAAACACAGGUGGUGCUGGAUGGGAAGAGGGCCUCUGUUGAGGGACUAUCAAGGGUACACUAAAAGUUUUAGGAUAGUACUGAUAUGGCGUGAAUCCUGGCGCGUACUGGGGCAUAUUAGUGAGACCAUAAAAUGGCGCCUGGGAUAGCGAUGAAUAAUUAGAAGUGUUACCGAGAUCAUCUGGGUAUGGAGGAGGAGGCAUGCCACUGGCCCAUGCUCGUUGCAUCUCUACCAAUUAUUGUCUAAGUCUUAAUAUCUCCUCAUUAUGUUCUGAACCCCCUCUCCUAGGAUUCUGGUUCGGGUCAAUAAGCGAGUUUUCUACCUCUUUAUUGGCCAGGGCAAUCUUUGAUUUUGAUCUAGUGAAGUAAGGAUGACUUGCCAGAGUUCUACAAACCAACCACUUUUAUUUAAAAGAACAUCCUCAUCAAAGACAAAACCCAGUAGGAUUAGGUCACACAACAAGCAUGAAAAUCACACUGUAUAUUUUUCCUAGAUUCAUGCACAUUUCUACCUGCCUUUGAAGGUGAUGAGGCCAUUUUAACAUCAUAUCGAUCUUUUCUUACACUUACUACUUCUUACCUUCCUAUUAAACUUCAUUUUUUUUAUUUCUCUACUUUUCUCCCUUGCUUCUCCUUCCUUUGCAUCAGUCUCUUUUCCUCCCCCCUCUUUUCCUCACUAUUCUUUCUUUCUUUUUUCUUCUCUAACUAUUCUUUCUUUCUCUUUUGUUCGCUCGCUAUUUUCUUUGUUUUAUUGUUCUUUAUGACUUUUGAUUUCUUCAAAAUAGGAAAAUUGAGGAAAAAGAGAACAAAGAAACAAAAUGAAUAGAUCGAACCUUAAAAUAGGUUGCCUAUGUAUCAUGUUGUACAUGAAUUAGAUCUUGCGUAGUUCGGGGGCGUAUGCACAAAUAUCACAAAGUUGAUAAUUUUUAAAUUUUUUUUAUGAUGAAAAAAAUAAAUAAACAAAAUGAAAGAACAAUGCAACAUCUCUACAUUUUCAUAAAAGAAACAACUAAAAUAGACUUCGAAUUUAAGAUAACAUUAACAAAGACUGAACAAUACUCUAGACCAACAGGAUAAUAUACGCAACACUCAUAAUGAAGAAUCCAAUGUUGAAACAAACUUAACACUGACCUAGAAAGACACAACAAUACCAUAAUAGAAAAAAAAAAGGAUUCCAAAAAAGCACAGAUAAAAAAAAUGGCCCCUUUAAGCUAUUGUGCCGCGUGAUGACCCUGGCUGAGAUGGACUUGUCUGUGAAGUUCUCACUCUCCAACUCAAAUUUUGUAACAUAUCCUGCAAUGACACUUUGAUAUUUUGGAGGAAGCUUCUGGCACGUGUUCUUUCCUCUUGAGGAGUACACCUGAAAAGAUUUUUCUAAUACCCUUCCACAAUUGUAAGCAAACCUGAUAAUUGAACCCUCAAUGACUCCACUUUGGCCCCCACAUCUUCACUGUCAUGGUUAUCAACUAUGCAAGCUUUCUGUAUUCUCUCUCUGAGUUGCACUAGCAAUGGCCUACUGACACCCCGAGGUACGGAUUGUAGCUAGAUCCCAUAUCUCUGAGUGUACCUCGGAUUAUCUGAACCUUCUUUGAGAGAAUCUACACUAUUUUUGUUGCAUUAUGCCAUAAUUGCUCAUAUCUGAUCUAAACCUUGUCUAUAUAUCUAAAUUACUCGACAUCCUUGUAAAGAUCCAUUAUUAGUGGAAUGUUUUGAGAUCUACCCAACUAGAGCAUUACCCUACUCGGGUUGUAAGGUUUAGUGCAUUUGAGCCCUAUCAGAACUAGAAGAGGUUGAAUGUGGCAUUCGGACAAGAUUACCUUCGGAUGGAGCCAUCGAUAGGUCCAAAGGAUAUUGUCAUGAGUUCUUAAUUCGAGAAACUCAACCCAAGCAUUAACUCCCACAGGCAAUGAGAACGUAUCAAAAUUUAUUUUUUGUUCGAUGACAUCCACUCGCUCAUUCAAAUAUCGAUCAAUCACAACCGAUCUAAUCAAAGAAGGAGCGUACAAAUGUUCCAUCAUCCAUAGUUGUAAUAUCAAAUUUCUUUCCUCGAAAAAUUGCAUUCCCCCUUUACUUCAGUCAAAGCCUUAUACAGUUCCACCAAAAUCAUAGGUACGAUAGUGACCUCAUCCCCUGUCUUGAAUAAGGCCAUCACUACCGAUUGUAAAUAUGUGUUGACACACCUUUCAUUUAACGGGAACACUAAAGUACCUAACAAUACCAGACAAAAAACCUCAAGACGUUGUUUCUCCCAAUUCUUUUUAGUGGUACAAAAUUCAUCCCAAAAGUGAUCAAAGCUUUAUGGAGACUCAAAUCUAGUGAACAAAUAGUCUAAGGAAAUCCAAGAUUGGUUCAGGCGUCCUAAGUGUUCAUUAACCUUCAAACCAUAAACCUUGAGAAAUCUCCUGCCAAAAUGAUUUCGGGCUAGGAUUAACUUCUUAUCGAUAUAAGGUAACUGAAAUAAACUGGAUAGGGUAGGCGUCAUUUCACAACCUCGGAACCUAAACACCAAACUAUCUAAAUCCUAGAAGGUCGACACAGCCUCUAUUAGAUCUGGACGGGGCGUGAUACUCAAAAGUAACGUAAGAUUGCCUGACGCUUUCUUUAGCUCAUGAUUUUCAGAGUAGUUGAACAUGCCCCACCACUUAAUUAAAUUUUUGGGCACCUUGGAAACCAUCAAGACUCUAGACCCUAUGGACGUCUCCAUCCUAUAACAACACACAAAAUUAAGACUCAAGAUUCGAUAAGAGGAAGAGAAUUCCCGAUCCAUGAGAUUUUAACACAAAGAAGUGUCAUAUGACACAGGGACAGGCUGAUCUAUAACUAAAAUUCGUUGAAUGGAAAUGCUAAGAAAACUCAACCUUUUUGGCUAUGACCACUAACAAAUACUUAACUAAGCAGAAAAUGUACCUAAACUUGGACUAAGACAACGAUCAAACCAAAAGAUUACCGGGCCCACCGAGGGUUUCCUACGUAUCUCGUCUCGAGAGACAAGAAUCAGGUAUGCGUAGUUCGUCUAGAUUAGACAAAUAAAUAUUAAACAACCGAAUGAACCCUAACCUAAGAUACACGACCAAAAAUAGAAGAUAAACAUCAUUAAUAAAAAAAAUUAUUUUUUUUCAAUUGACACUUCACAUAAAAAUGACACCAAUAACUAUGAAAGAAAAAUCUUUUUGGUAUUUUUGUUGUAUGAAAGGUACAAAACUUUUACCAUCUUUUUUUAUUUUUCUAUUAUAAGAAGCUCCUACUAAAAAAAACUUCUUUGAAAUUUUUGGAUUAUGAAUGCUUCCUAAAGAGAACAAGAGAAAAAUAUUUUUGAUAUUUUUGUUUUUGACAAAUGAAUUCAAAUGGUAAAACUCUUUUUGAUUUUGUUUUGGAUUGUGAAAAACUAAAGCCAUAAAGAACUCGAAAAAGAAAAACUACGAAACUCAUUUUUGACUCACUUUUCUUUCUCUCUCUUUUUUUUCCUUUUUUUACCAUUUUCUUGUUUACGCACUUUACUUCUAACACAUGUUUUCCUCAAAUCAGUCUGUUAAAUGACCUUGUCACCCUAAAAAUUGAAACAUUUAGCAUGUAGGGAUUCUUUUAAGGUGAGUCUCCUAUAAAGGACCAAGUAGCUCCUGCUAGGUCUCAGUAUGAUGCAGAUAAGCAUGACUUAAAGGCUGACCUACGUGUAAGACCCCACAAAAUUCUAAGCUUAACUUAGUCCUUUAAAGCAUGUUAAGGGGUCCCAAACUUAGAAAAUUCAGCUAAGUAUUCAUACAUAGUUAUGUUUUUACCCUUCGUAAGUUGGAGAUCCUUUUUCACGACCCUCAUGACCUUAAAGUGAUGAUUUUUAGGUUGAAUCAUGAUCAGGAGUGUCAGUAGGCGUUCUCAGAUAAGUUUUGGAUUUUCUAGACUUUGUUUAAAACAUAUUUGAAAACUCAAACUAGUGGAUCGACGCGAUCUCGAUACGCCGAGUCGCCCAUCACAUCAAUGAGUAUUUUUUCCUAGCUCCCAGUAUAAAUUACAGUGAACCGAUGCAGAUUCGACGUGGUGCAUUGGCCAUCGUGUUGAUGCCAAUAAUGUGGUGCAUCGAUUUGCGCAUCGAUAGUUCAGUUUUCAGUCAUUAAAAAGGCAGCAUCCUUAGGAGUAUUAUGGUAUUUUUUCCACGUCUAUCAGCACCAAAACACGAAAUUAAACCCUUCUAAGAGAAAAAACUAUUCAUUCUUCACAAGUUGCUCUCAAGAACAAACCCUAGGAGAUUUUAAAUUCAAUUCAGGGCUCAAGAACUUAUCAUUAAUCUUUCAGAAUUUAAUAGUUAAAGUAUGUUAAGUGUUCAUCCAAGGGUUCCCUUCCACCCUUGGAGUUAAAGAACCCUUUUCAAAAUUCAAGUUUAUGGAUUUGAUGAAAUUCAUGAUUUAAUAUGAUAGUGUUCAUGACUAGCAUAUUAAUGGGGUUCCUAAUCUAUGAUUAGUUGCAAGAUUUAUGAGAAGUUAUUAAAUAUGUAUGUAGUAUUAUGUGAAAUCAUGCUAAAGCCUCCAAAUUUUGAAUUUUGUAUUUGAAAUUGUGUUUCUCAUAUAUUGAUUAGUAUUAUGUGCAUAUACUAUGCCCUCCAAGUGUUUGAUGAAUUGUACAUUUGAGUUGAAUAGUGAAAUUAUAUCAAGUUAGCAUGUAUACCACUUCAUGUCAUGCAAGUGUUUGUCAAAAUACCCCAAUGAAUGAAUGGUGAUCAAGUAUUUAGUUAUCAUGUUUCAAGAUUAUUCUAUGUCUUGUAAUUAUAUGCUAUCGAGUCCUAGGGAUAUCUAAUACCUAAUAAUUUAGUUGUAUACUUAAAGCCAGUGUCAGUUACAGAAUAGUACCAGUCAUAUCACGUUCAGUGGUUCAGAACUCAGUUAGUAAUCAGUUCAAAAUUCAGUAAACUUAGUUCAGUUCAGUUAGAUAGUACGAUUAGUAAAAGUUUAGUCCAGCCUAGUACAGUUUAGAAGUCAGUCCAGUGUCUAUCUAGUUGGAAGUAGGAUUCAGCACCGAGUGAAUCCAAGGAUGGGGACUCACCUGCUAGUAGAGGGUGUGAUUUGUGUUCCAAAACUACAUAGCCAGCGUAGGUUGAGACAUUAACCUUCAAGUUGAGGGUUGAUAAGGUGUCCUACCUGCCAGUUGAGGGUACCACCAUUCUCAUUUAGAGCACCGCCUGAUGAGAGUGACUCAGUUUGUCUUUACCCGUGGCACAGUACUAACACCCUUCCAAAUGGGGAUACAGGUUGGACCCCAACCCAUUCAGAAAGGGGCAUGUCGGUUAGAUGAUUACCUCCCACAGUCUCAAUUUUAGUCUUCAAAAUAGAACUCAGUUUAGUUCUACAGAAAUCAAGACUGUCAGACACAAUCACUUAGUUCAGUACGAAACUUAGAGUAGUUUCCACAAGAAUUAUGACUGUUAGAUAUAUUUACUCAGUUAAUAGUAUAACAAUAACAGUAUACUCAGAUAUUAGUUAAUCAGUAAUUUAGAACUCAGUAUCCAGUGCUAUCGCGACCUCAGUUACAGUUUACGUGUUUAUGCAUGUACUUUUAUUCAGUUAUACUCAUGUUAUUCAGUCAGUAUUAUUCAUGCAUAUAAACCUAUGCAUCUCAUCCUACCUCACUUAGCAUACCAGUACAUUCAAAGUACUAAUACAUACCUUUCUUUUGUGAUAUGAUGUCUUAUAUCAUAGGUUCGGAUGCACAGGCUCCCGAUCAUACUUAGCAGCCCUAUCUAUCAGCAAUAGACUAGUGGUGAGUCCUCAUUAUUCAAGGAUAGAUUUAUUAUUCUAGUAUUUCAGUACUCAGUUUAUUUCAAUAGUCAGAGUUAGUUGGGGACUUAUCCCAUCAACUCCCUCUUUAGAUAGUAGAGGUUUUUCAGAUGUAGAGUAUUUUUUAGACAGAUGUUCAGUUUACAGUAUUGGUUUUAGUAUUUAGUAAUUGAUUUUCAGUUUGAACCUUGUGGCUAUUUCUAUCUAAAUUCUACAUUUUUUUCAAUAUUAUUAUUCAGUUAUUACAGCAGGUACCAUUCAUAGGUUAGCUUAUAGUCCUUUGGAAUUAUAAGCAUCAUGUAGCAUUUGGGGUAUAGAAUUAGGGAGUUACAAACUUGGUAUCAAAGCCUAAGGUUCAACAGAGUCCUAGGAAGUUUGAAAGCCACGUCUAGUAGAGUCUUGUGCAUGGGUGUGUAGCGCACCACACUUAUGGACAGGAGGCUAUUAGAUGUUUUAGGAAAAGUUACCCUUCUUUCAAUAUUCAUGUCAUGUGGGUGAGCAUGAGCUCCAGUUAAACUCUCAGUCUAAUCCAAAUUUUCUCUUCCGUUUAUAGAAUAUUCCUCCAAAGAGGACUAAGGGAAGAGGAAUGGGAGACCAGCCAAUACCUGAACCCAUCCAACCAGAUCCCUUGGAUGAACAUGUCUCCCACAUUGAAUUCAGAGUAGCUUUUACGACCUUAGCUCAUUCUAUGGAAGCCCAGAAUAACUGUCCAGCUAUUUUUUUGGCCAACUUAAUGGCCAAUACUACUGCAACCAGGAUUCAAGACUUCACCCAAAUGAACCCUCUAUCUUUUACUGGGUCUAAGUCAGAUGAGAACCCUAAAGAAUUUUUUGAUCAGGUGCAGUAAGUUACAGAUAUUAUUGGGGUAACAGCUAGUGAGGGUGCCGAGUUAGUUGCAUAUCAGUUACAGGAUGUGGCUCACUCAUGGUUUAAAAAGUAGAAAGCAGAAAGGGAAAAAGAUGCAGGGCCCAUGGAGUGGGAGGAAUUUACCACCGCUUUUCUGGAUUGGUUCUUCCCGUUGGAGUUGACGGAAGUGAAAGUUCUAGAAUUUAUUAAUCUGAAGCAGGGAAAUAUGACAGUAAAAGAGUAUUCUCUCAAAUUUACUCAAUUAGCUAGAUACGUUCCUCAUAUGGUGGCAGAUAGUAGAUCCAGGAUGAGUAAGUUUGUGUUUGGGAUUUCUAGCAGUGUGGUCAAGUAGUGUAGAACAGCAAUGCUGAUUAAGAAGAUAGAUAUAUCCAGGCUCAUGGUCCAUGCUCACCAGAUAGAGGAGGCUAAGAAUAGAAAGAAGGAGAGGGAGAACAAGAGAGCGAGAAUAGGCAAUUUCUACUUCGCUCAGCCUAAGUCAGAGGAUGGGAAUCGUUCUUAGUUCCACCCAAAAUCCUUAGUUCUAGAUCUAUCCUCAACCAGUGCUCUAGUGCCAAAAUUCAGAGACGGCAACAGAGAUGGGGUGCCAGGCCCUAAGCCUUAGGGUAGUGUCAACAGCGCCCGAACCAACCUACUUUGCCAAAAAUAUGGCAGAAACCACUAGGGUAUCUGCAGGGGUGGUAGUGAUGUGUGUUUCGGGUGUGGCAAGCCAGUUCAUAGAGUUAGAGACUGUCCUCACUCAGGUUCCUAGGGUAAGCAUAACCGACCCUCAGCUCAGUUUAGACGUCCGAAUUGGCAGGGUAUCUUUUUUAGUGCUACCAGUGGGCAACGCCCAAACAGACUCUAUGAAUUUUAGUCCUGAUAGGAUCAGUAAAGUUCACUUGAUGUGUUCACUGGUAUGUUACAAGUUUAUCAUUUAAAUGUUUAUGCUUUGCUAGAUCCAAAAGCUUUUUUAUCCUUUGUUACUCUCUAUAUAGUUGUUGGCUUCGGAGUCAGUCCCAAAAUUCUAGCAAAGCCUUUCUCAGUCGUUACCCUAGAGGGUAAAUCUAUUAUAGCCCAACAAGUAUACAGGAACUGUCUAAUUAUGGUAUCUUAGAGAGCCACUUCAGCAGACUUGGUCGAAUUAGAGAUGACCGACUUUGAUGUCAUUCUCGACGUGGAUUGGCUUCAUUCCUACUAUGCCUUAGUCGACUAAAGAAACAUAAUUGUCUAGUUUUAGUCCCCGAAUGAGCCCGUCCUAGAGUAGAUGGGUAGUACUUCAGCACAUAGGAACCAGCUUAUUUCCUACCUUAGGGCAAGAAAAAUGAUAUCUAAGGGAUGUGACUACCAUCUCGUUCGAGUCCAGGACUCUAGAUCAGAAACCCCUACUCUUGAGUCAGUAUCAGUAGCAUAUGAAUUCUCAGAUGUGUUUCUCGAAGAUCUUCCCAGAGUUUCUCCUGAGAGGAAAAUCGACUUCAGAAUAAUCCUUCUUCCAGAUACUUAGCCUACCUAUAUUCCUUCAUACAGAAUGGCUCCAGCAAAACUCAAAGAAUAGUUAAAAAAUCUCCUAAAUAAGGGAUUUAUUAGAUGCAAUGUGUCCCCAUGGGGUGCACCAGUUCUAUUUAUGCGUAAGAAAGACGGUUCUCUCAGAAUGUGUAUAGAUACAAUUAGCUAAAUAAAGUCACGGUCAAGAACAAGUAUCCACUUCCCAGAAUUGAUGACUUAUUUGACCAACUUCAGGGUGCCAGUUACUUUUCUAAGAUAGGCUUCAGAUCAGGCUAUCAUCAACUCAGAGUCAGAGAAUGUGACAUUCAAAAAAUAGCUUUCAGAACUCGGUAUGGUCACUUCAAAUUCUUAGUCAUGUCCUUUGGUCUUACCAAUGCCCUAACAGCUUUCACAGACUUGAUGAACCACGUGUUCAAGCAGUACUUGGACCUUUUCAUCAUAGUCUUUGUAGAUGAUAUCCUUGUUUACUUCUGCAGCGAGCAUGAUCAUGCAGACUAUCUCAGAAUAUUAUUACAAACUCUCAAAGACCAUCAAUUAUUUGCCAAAUUCUGUAAGUGCAAAUUUUGGCUAAGGAUAGUAGCUUUCCUUAUCCAUAUCAUUUUUUGGUGAGGUCAUUAGAGUUGAUCCCCAAAAGACCAAAGCAGUGAGAAACUGGCUCAGACCUAUCUCUCCAUCAGAUAUCCAGAAUUUCUUAGGUUUGGCUGGCUAUUAUCGAUGGUUUGUUGAAUCUUUAUCAUCUAUUACAUAUGUCUAGAUUGACUCAUAAGAAGGUUAAAUUUCAGUGGUCAGAUUCCUGCGAGAAGAGUUUUCAGGAUUUAAAGACUCAACUUACUACAACCCUAGUUUUAAAUCUACCAGAUGGUUCAGACAGAUUUGUGGUAUAUUGUGAUGCUUCCAGGUUUGGUUUGGGGUGAGUUUUGAUGCAAAGAGGUAAGGUCAUAGCCUACGCCUCUAGACAGCUCAAACCCCAUGAAAAGAACUAUCCUACCUAUGAUCUUGAGUUCGUAGCAGUAGUAUUUAGCUUAAAGAUUUGGAGGAACUAUUUGUAUGGUGUGCACGUUAAUGUGUUCACAGACCAUAAGAGCUUACAGUAUGUGUUCUCUUAGAAAGACCUAAACCUUUGUCAGAGAUGGUGGUUGGAGUUGUUGAAAGACUAUGACAUGAGCAUCCUGUAUCAUUUGGGUAAGGCCAAUGUAGUGGCUGAUGCUCUUAGUAGGAUGUCUAUGGGUAGUGUUACUUAAGUGGAAAGUGGUAAGAAGAAGUUAGAUCAGGAAGUUCAUCAACUUGCCCAACUAGGUGUCCGCUUAGUCGAUUCAGCAGAAAGUAGUGUAUGAGUGCAGAGUAGUUUAGAAUCAUCUCUAAUUUUUGAGGUAAAGGAAAAGUAGGAUAGGGAUCCCAUCCUAGUUAAGUUGAAAGAAUCAGUUAGAGAUCAGAAGAUAGAGGUUUUCUCCCAAGAGAGAGAUGGUGUUUUGCAUUGUUAGGGUCGGCUAUGUGUGCCGGGUGUAGAUGACCUAAGACAACGAAUUCUUGUAGAAUCGCAUGGUGCGCAUUACUCUGUUUAUCCAGGGGCCACUAAGAUGUACUGUGAUUUGCGAGAGAUCUAUUAGUGGAGUUGGAUGAAUAGAGAAAUUGCAUAGUUUGUAGCCAAGUGCUCAACAUGUCAGCAGGUUAAGAUUGAGCAUCAAAAACCUAGUGGGUCUAUGUAGAAGUUCAGUAUUCCUACUUAGAAGUGGGAAGAAAUAAACAUGGAUUUUGUGAUGGGUUUACCUCAUACUCGUCGGUAGCACAAUUCAGUUUCGGUCAUUUUAGACAGGAUGACCAAAUUAGCUCAUUUUCUACUAGUUCAUACCUCUUAUUCAGCCGAGGACUAUGCCAAGCUCCAUGUCAGAGAGUUGGUCAGGUUACAUGGAGUUCCGUUGUCCAUUAUCUCAUAUAGAGGUACGCAGUUCACCUCUCAUUUUUGGAAGACAUUUCAGAAGGGUCUUGGUAACCAAGUCCACUUUAGUAUAGCUUUCCACUCUCAAACAGAUGGUCAAGCAUAAAGGACUAUUCAAACUUCAAAGAACAUGCUGCGAGCAUGUGCGAUAGACUUUAAAGAUAGUUGGGAUGACUACUUAUAUUUGAUUGAAUUCACAUAUAACAACAGCUAUCAUUCCAGUAUUCAGAUGGCUCUUUUUGAGGCACUCUAUAGGAGGAGAUAUAAGUCUCCCAUUAGUUGGUUUGAAGCGGGAGAGGCAGCAGUAGUAGGGCCUGAUUUAGUGUUUAGUGCCUUAGAGAAGGUUUAGUUGAUCAGGGAUAAGCUUAAGACAACUAAGAGCCGAUAAAAAUCGUACGCAGAUGUGCGGAGAAAGGAUCUCGAGUUUGAGAUUGGUGAUUAUGUGUAUUUGAAAAUCUCUCCCGUGAAAGGAGUGACGAGGUUUGGCAAGAAAGAAAAGCUUAGUCCCCGAUAUAUCGGUCCUUACCGAAUUCUUAGCCUUUUCAAAAAGGUAGCUUACGAACUUGAGUUGCCUUCAGACUUAGCUUCAGUCCAUUCAGAGUUCCAUGUCUCCUUGCUAAAGAAAUGCAUAGGUGACCCAGCAGUUGUAGUUCCUGUAGGGAGUAUAGACAUUUAGAAUAGCCUCUCUUAUGAGGAGAUUCCAGUCGAAAUCCUUGAUUUUCAUAUUCAUAGACUGAGGAACAAAGAGUUCCCUCUAGUCAAAGUUCUUUGGUGGAAUCAGUCCGUUGAGGGAGCUACUUGGGAAGCAGAAGUAGAUAUGUGGAUCAAGUAUCCUCACCUCUUCUACGCCAACUCAGACUCAUCCCAAGGUAAAAUUUUUUCCCUGAAACUUACUCAGUUUCAUGCUCAUAUUUUCCUUAUAAACUUGGUAUCAUUUACCAUUGCAUAUUCAGUUGUGACUUCAUGCAUCAGAUAUAUAUGUUCAGCACGAGAAACUCAGCUUAUUAGCAAUCCUAUUCAUGCAUUUAUGAAUCAUGUUUAGUUCGUACUUUUACAUUAGAUAUGUAUGUUCAGUAUGAAAUUUCAGCGUAUUAGUAGUGUCAGUUAUGAAAUCAUGUUGCAGUUGUGCAUAUCCAGUAUCUAAAUUUAGUCUAUCAGUAUUCCCAGCUUAGUUAGAUUAAUUCGAAGAUGAAUGUUUCCAAGGGGGAGAUAUUGUAAGACCCCCCAAAAUCCUAGGCUUAACUUAAUCAUUUAAAUCUUGUUAAAGGGUCCCAGACUUAGAAAAUUCAGCUAAGUAUUAAGACUUAAAGUUUUUUUUUUUAGAUUUCAUAAGUUGGCGAUCCUUUUUCGCGACCCUCAUGACCUUAAAGUGAUGAUUUUUAAGUUGAAUCAUGAUUAGGAAUGUCAGUAGGAAUUCUCAGACAAGUUUUGGAUUUUUGAACUUCGUUUUAAACACAUUUGAAAGCUCAAACCAAUAGAUAGAGGCGAUCUCGAUGGAUGCAUCGCUCAUCACGUCGAUGAGUAUUUUUCCUCAGCUCCCAGUACAAAUUCCAGUGAAUCGAUGUCACACAUUAGCUAUCACGUCGAUGCCAACAACGCGGCACGUCGGUCUGCGCGUCGAUAGUUUAAUUUUCAGUCAUUAAAAAGGCCUAGUUCUUAGGGGUAUUAGGGUCUUUUUCCUAUAUCUAUCAUCCCCAAAACAUGAAAUUAAACCCUUCUAAGAGAAAAAAUUAUUCAUUCUUCACAAGUUUCUCUCAAGGACAAACCUUAGGAGAUUUUAAAUUCAAUUCAGGGCUCAACAACUUACCAUCAAUCUUUUAGAAUUUAAUUGUUAAGGUAUGUUAAGUGUUCAUCCAAGGGUUCCCUUCCACCCUUAGAGUUCAAGAACCCUUUUAAAAAUUCAAGUUUAUGGAUUUGAUGAAAAUCAUGAUUUAAUGUGAUUGUGUUCAUAACUAGCAUGUUAAUGGGGUUCCUAAUCCAUGACUAGUUGCAAGAUUUAUGUGAAGUUAUUAAAUAUGUGUAGUAUCAUGUGAAAUCAUGCUAAAGCCUUCAAAUUAUGAAUUAAUAUUUGAAAUUGUGUUGCACACAUGUUGAUUAGUAUUAUGUGCAUAUACUAUGCUCUCCAAGUGUUUGAUGAAUUGCACAUGUGAGUUAAAUAGUGAAACUAUAUCAUGUUAGCAUGUAUACCACUUCAUGUCAUGCAAGUGUUUGUCAAAAUGCCCCAAUGAAUGAAUGGUGAUUAAGUAUUUAGUUAUCAUGUUUCAAGAUUAUGCUAUGUCUUGAAAUUAUAUGCUAUCGAGUCCUGGGGGUAUCUAAUACCCAACAAUUUAGCUGUAUACUUAAAUCCAGUGUCAUUUAUAGAAUAGUGCCAGUCAUAUCACGAUCAGUGGUUCAGAAAUUAGUUCAGCACUCAGUUAGUAAUCAGUUCAGAAUUCAAUGAAUUCAAUUCAGUUUAGUUAGAUAGUCCAAUCAGUAACAGUUCAGUCAAGCCUAGUAUAGUUUAGAACUCAGUCUAGUGUCUAUCCAGUUAGGAAUAGGAUUCACCACCGAGUGAACCCAAGGAUGGGGACUUACUUGCCAGUAGAGGGUGUGAUCCUUAAAAGCAGUCUUUGAGUUCCAGAACUACGUAGCCAGUGUAGGUUGAGAUAUCAACCUAUCAGUUGAGGGUUGAUGAGGUGUCCUACCUGCCAGUUGAGGGUACCACCGUCCACAUUCAGAGCACCGCCUGAUGAGAGUGACUCAGCUUGUCUUUAUCCUUGGCAUGGUACUGACACCCUUCCAAAUGGGGUUACAGGUUGGACCCCAAUCCAUUUAGAAAGGGGCAUGUCAGUUAGAUGAUUACCUCCUACAGUCUCAGUUUCAGCCUUCAAAAUAGAACUCAGUUCAGUUCUAUAGAAAUUAGGACUGUCAGACACAGUCACUCCAUUUAGUACGAAACUCAGAGUAGUUUCCACAAGAAUUAGGACUGUCAGAUACAGUGACUCAGUUAACAGUAUUACAGUAACAUUAAACUCAGAUAUCAGUAAAUCAGUAAUUUAGAACUCAGUAUCUAAUGUUAUCACGACCUCAGUUACAAUUUACGUAUUCAUGUAUGUACUCUCAUUCAGUUAUACUUAUGUUAUUCAGUCAGUAUUAUUCAUGCAUAUGAACCCAUGCAUCUCAGCCUACCUCACUUAGCAUACCAGUACAUUCAAAGUACUGAUGCACACCUUUCUUUUGCACUAUAAUGUCUUAUAUCAUAGGUUCAGACACAUGGGCUCCCAAUCAUAAUUAGCAGCCUGAUCCAUCAACAGCAGACUGGUGGUGAGUCCUUAUUAUUCAAGGACAAAUUUAUUAUUCUUGUAUUUCAGUACUUAGUUUAUUUCAGUAGUCGGAGAUAGUUACGGACUUG
rnacentral:lncRNA from 1 species